AUAACCAACUGCAGAACCGCAGAACCAUUACGUCAUAACAGUCUGAGGACGACAGCGCCAGACCGACUGUUUGAGAGCGGAAGUGGGCGGGGUAGCAGCCCGAUGCCGGAAGUUCAUGUUUAGACGUGUUUGUUUAGACUAGACAGUAAAAGGUUUUUAGAAGGUAAAAGAUAAACAUUAAAAGGUUUUUAGACAGUAAAAGAUAGACAAUAAAAGGUUUAACUAUGGCGGAGCACACUGUAGAACAAGGAAAAGAAGAAGAGAAAGAAGUAAAAAGAAGUUAUAUAUUUGAUAGAUGCAACAUACUUAACAUUAUAACGUUACGCUUAUACAAGACAGCUCUGUACUGAUAUAUACAUAUUUUUUUAAAGGAAUAAUUUUGUAAGUUAGGCUAAUAUUUAGCAAUAUCACAGUAUCACUUUGUUGGGUUACAUAUUCAUGGUUUGUGAUUUAAUUUGUUGUUGCGUUGUAUUUUACAGCAUUUGUUAAAUUUUCUGACCAUGAGAAUUGCAUAAUUUCAAAACAUUACUUUACAUGCAUCCUGAUUAAACCACAAUGUAUUGUUGAGGACACUUCCAAUCUCCCCAGGGACAACAGAUGGAAAUGAGCUAGCAGCCAAAUGAACCACAGAUGGUCAAAGACCUCAGGACCGCAGUUGGAUGGCUGCGGGACAACUGCCACUCCUUCAGAGGUUCUGUGCAAGAGCCGUCAUAUCUGGACCUAAAGAAGGAAGACCAGGAAGAGGCCCUUCUUAAACUUGAUCGGGCGGAAAGAAAAGAUGAUCUGGAACUGGCCAAAAAGCCUUUCAUGUUUCAGUUCCAGUUUCAACAGGACAUGGAAGUUUUUCUUUUCGAAUGUCACGACGAAAGGCACCUCAGAAUAAACUCCAUGUUUAUGGAGUUUUAAUUUGUUAUUUAUUUUUCUCUUGAGAAUUAUUGAUGUAAAAUUUGUGCCUGUAUAACUUUUAUAAGAUUUAUUUUCUUUGGUUUAAUUUGUUUUAUAUAAUUUAUUUAUCUAGUUUGAUUUUGUAAUUUUAUUUAAUUAGAAAACAGCUAGUGUGUGAUUUUAUUUAAAACUCAUUUUAUUUAAAUUAAUGUUUUUUUUUUUUUUUUCAGUCCAUUAUAUUAUUGUGUAUGGUGGUCUAUGUUGUUUGAGUAUUUAAAGUUAUUUUCAACUGAAUAAAAUGUUCAAACUCUCAAGCUCUGUUUUCAUUGGAUUAUUUAUUUUUAAUUUUAUGCUUUGUCUAAUGUAUAAUAUUGUUAAUCAGUCUUAAAUAUACAUUUUCAAAUAAAUCGUUUAAAACAAA